rnacentral:rRNA from 1 species
GAGUUUGAUCUUGGCUCAGAUUGAACGCUGGCGGCAUGCCUUACACAUGCAAGUCGAACGGCAGCAUGAUCUAGCUUGCUAGAUUGAUGGCGAGUGGCGAACGGGUGAGUAAUACAUCGGAACGUGCCCUGUAGUGGGGGAUAACUAGUCGAAAGAUUAGCUAAUACCGCAUACGACCUGAGGGUGAAAGUGGGGGACCGCAAGGCCUCAUGCUAUAGGAGCGGCCGAUGUCUGAUUAGCUAGUUGGUGGGGUAAAGGCCCACCAAGGCGACGAUCAGUAGCUGGUCUGAGAGGACGAUCAGCCACACUGGGACUGAGACACGGCCCAGACUCCUACGGGAGGCAGCAGUGGGGAAUUUUGGACAAUGGGGGCAACCCUGAUCCAGCAAUGCCGCGUGUGUGAAGAAGGCCUCGGUUGUAAGU